rnacentral:rRNA from 1 species
CCUACGGGUGGCAGCAGUGAGGAAUAUUGGUCAAUGGCCGAGAGGCUGAACCAGCCAAGUCGCGUGAGGGAAGACGGCCCUACGGGUUGUAAACCUCUUUUGUCGGGGAGCAAAGCGAGUCACGUGUGACUCAUUGAGAGUACCCGAAGAAAAAGCAUCGGCUAACUCCGUGCCAGCAGCCGCGGUAAUACGGAGGAUGCGAGCGUUCUCCGGAUUUAUUGGGUUUAAAGGGUGCGCAGGCGGAGGUGCAAGUCAGCGGUCAAAUUGCGGGGCUCAACCCCGUACUGCCGUUGAAACUGCAUCCCUUGAGUGCGCGAGAAGUAUGCGGAAUGCGUGGUGUAGCGGUGAAAUGCAUAGAUAUCUGGAGGAACAUCAGUGGCGAAGGCGACUAUCUGGCACAUAACUGACGCUGAGGAGCGAAAGCGUGGGUAGCAAACAGGAUUAGAUACCCCAGUAGUC